AGGGCGGGGCGGACAAUGGAGAGAACUACCUGGAAGAGGAAGACAGGCUUGAAAGGACCCAUGGCUCUCACUUUGCAGAUGGGCAUCAAGGCUCUGGAUGGUGAUUUGAGAGCGUGGCAGUCUGCAGGACAGCCCUUUUUGGAUGGAAGGUCCUACGCUCCAAGAGAGAGAAUCCGAGAUUACAGAAAUUGUGUUUUCCUGACUCAUGCCUUGGGCUGAGAGUACAUUCUUGGCUCCUGGACAGCAUCCCACAGAAGAGCUGCCUACAACGGCCCUGGCUCCCCAAGGGAGGGGCAGACCCUGGACUGGCUGCCGGAGCUUUCUGGGCUCUAAUUUUAUCCCAAUGUGAAAAGAAGGGGAUUAAACUUCCUUCCUAUUAACAUUCUAAAAUUAAAAGUGAGACACUGUUGACGGCGCCCAGCA
rnacentral:lncRNA from 13 species